AGCCCUGCCUCAAACUUUUGUUAUUUUUUCCUCCACCUUCUUCAAUUGUUCCUACAAACUUGGUGACAGAGUCAGACAAGUUGCCAGAGAAGUCCAGACAGUUUCCCACAGCUCAGAACACAUUAUCUUAUAACUCACUAAUAAUCAUCAGCAGAGGAGUUGUUUCCAGAAGGAAGCAGUAGUACUUCUCAUUUUGCCUGCAAGAGGCAUUUGUCUCGGGACAUUUAGAGAGCAUCUCAUCUCAACUAGGAUAAUGGGAUUUUAUGUAGGAAGACCAGAGGAACAACAAUUAAUCCAAAACUCCACACAGAUUCUCUAAACCAAAAACUGAAGAUAAUAACCACUUUGCACUGUUCCUGACAACUUCUGUUUUUUACCUGCACUUCUUCUAAAACCUGACUUGUGCUCUCUGCUUUCCUGUUGCCAUGGAGAAGGUCCAGCACAUAACCCGCUCUGCCAUGAGGAGAGCCUCAACUAUUGAGGUGGCAGAAACUGAGGACAGGUAGAAAACUGAGAACAGGAUGAAAUACAUGCGAAUCCCAAUUCCUUACUACUGCAACUGAACCAGCAGCAGCUACAAUCAAGAAUUCAGUUGCAAGCACAAGAGGUCAGACUAGUGCAGAGUAUGGAUCUUGCUAACAACAGAGGCCUCAACUUGCUACUCAAUUUCCUGCUUAUUGUUAUGGUUCUGGUGCUCAUGUUUAUCCUUGUGAAACUCAUGUGAAUCUCCUUGAGGUUCUGCUUUUUUUUGCAAUGAUAACUUAACACAACAUGUAAAAAGAUUGCAUAAGCUAGAAAAGUGUCUAUAAAGUAUAUGAAUAUUACAUGCUCAUGUAUCUACUCUACAGCAAAAUAUCUUAAAAGCAAAACAAUCAACAUAUUUGCCAAAGGCUAAGAGGAGUGUAUAAUUCCAUGCUGGCGACAAAAGGACACUGUAUCUAAGCAUACACAGUACUCUUGCCACUGGUAUAAUAAACUGAUUACUUGUAUUUAAACAACUAAGAAUCAAAGGCAGAAGUCUUCUAGGAGUACAAUCUCUGCAAAGAGGAUAACAGAAAUAACAAAAAUGGAAUCUUCAUAGAGCAGCCUCUCUGAAGAAAACUGAAACACAGGCCUGAAAAGGACAAGAGAGAUGCCUAAAGCUGAUUGAUGGCAAGUAUCAGAUUACGUAUGGAAAAGAAAAACAAAAAUGUUGUUGUGGCUAUUCAAAAGCCAAUCCCACCAUCUGGUUACAGGAUUUGUCAUGCAUGUUCAAAUAUAAAAAAUUAUUAACUGCAGCUUUUUAAAAGGCGUACCAUCCACUGCAGCAUUUGAAGGGGAGGAAAAAAAAAAAACCCUCAGCAAGCAGUUCUAUUAUGCAUCAGUAUUGAAAGAAUUACACCAAUCACCAGCUGUUAAGCUUAAAAUUUUGAGCAGUAACAAGGUAAUAUAAAAUAGAGAAUGCUAUCAAGUCUCACUCUACUUCAGUCUCUCUGAAGUUUGCUGAAAGUCUCACGCAAUAGUAGAUGGGACGGCCUGGAUACUUACAAUUAAAGCUUCUCACUGUUGUCUACAAACGAAGUAUGUGCAAUAAAUAUCUAAACAGCCUUUCCAAAAAUCAAAAAGACAUAUAUAGCAACAAGCUGUAAAGUCAAUAGCUAUUCUAUGUUGAUACACUAUUGUCAAUUUCUGUAUCGAUUGUCAAUGUAUGUUUCAAAGAGGAAAAGUUACCCAGCUACUUCAUUAUAAACACUUUAUCACCUUUUGUUUGAUAUUUUGGAGGAUAUUCUGCUUUUAUAAAAUGUCUGUACAUUCAUAUACGAGGGAUCUAAAUUAUAGCAAUGGGUUCGUUUAAUGUUUUGAUUAACCCGUUUAGAGCCUCACUGAGUAGGCAUAUUACCACAAUAUGAAGUAUACCAAAUCCAAACAUACAAACUAAUCCAAAGCCCACUGCAGUCAAAAGGAACGACCAUGCUAUAAUUUUCUAACGACAUGCCUAUUCACAGAUAUGCUGCAUAUAUCGCUUUAGAAUGUAUUGUGUAUAUAUAAACAACUACAGCUAUCUAAGAGUUUGUAUCAAAAGAGACAAUUUGAAAAAAAGGAAAAACGGUGACUCUAUGGGUUGUAUUUAUAUUUCACUUUUUAUCCCAAAUCACUUUACAAACGAAGCAUACAAGAAUCUCACCACCCUCCACUAAUGCGUAGCUACCUCUGGGGAGGAAUGAAACAACUGUUUAUCAACCAAGCAGUGACACUACACAAGUUUGAGACAGACAGUAAAACAUACAGCUUUAACUAGACAGAAUAUAAAUUUGUAUGAGCUACUGGGAGUAACAUGUCUUCUGCAGCAAACAGAGGCAUAAUAUUUUUACUGAUCAAAAAUGGUCAAGAUUGGAUUUACACAUCAGCCAUCAACAUGUAUUGAAAACCAGUCCCACAUACUUAUUGUAUUAAGAUGAAGCCCUAGUUGUCAAAUCCCAAGACCACCAACUUCACAAUGAACAGAAUAUAAAAAGCAACUUCAGUGAGGCACAACAAUGAAUAUUAAUUAAACUAAAAGUGACUGCAGUUUUUAGCAUGAAAAAUUCUCUGAAAAUACCAUUUAAUUAAAAAUGAAAUUUUCUGUGGGGAAAUGUUGAUUUUGAGAAAAGAUUUCAAUUUUUUGAUCAGGUGGGACCAAAGUAAAAAUAUUAUGAGUUGACAUUUCAAAAUGAAACUAUUUCUUCAUUUCAAAAUGUCAAUUUGAAGAGAAUGGUAUCAUUUCAACAUGUCAGAUUGUUUUGCUCACAAAUGUAGACAUUUAGUUGAAUAUUUCCAAUUCACAAGUUGAAAUAUUUUGAUUUACAAAAUGUUUUGAUAUUUUGACUUUCCAUUCUGAUUUGGAAUGCAAACUAAUUUUGAAUUGUCUAAAUUUUCCAAGAGACUAAAAAAUCAUCUCCCAAACAGCUCUAAUAUUAACCUAUGCAUGCUUUAUAGAGAGGAGGGCUAAGCACCUCGUUAAUGGCAAAAAGACAAAUUAAGGGGAAAGCCAGACUACUAAGUAACUUCCAUCCAGCACAGAUGUUGCCUCCCAGAUGAACUGGUGCAGUAUACUAAACUCAAGUGUAAUCGCGGUAUGAAACAAAACAAAACAAAACA